AACGGGUGGUAAUGCCGGAUGCUCCGACAUGCUGCAUGGCGUGUUGGGAAAGAUUUAUCGGUAUGGGAUGGGGUCGCGUCCUAUCAGGUAGUCGGCGGGGUAACGGCCCACCGAGCCUAUGACGGGUAGCCGGCCUGAGAGGGCGACCGGCCACAUUGGGACUGAGAUACGGCCCAGACUCCUACGGGAGGCAGCAGUGGGGAAUAUUGCACAAUGGGCGCAAGCCUGAUGCAGCGACGCCGCGUGCGGGAUGACGGCCUUCGGGUUGUAAACCGCUUUUGAUUGGGAGCAAGCGAGAGUGAGUGUACCUUUCGAAUAAGCACCGGCUAACUACGUGCCAGCAGCCGCGGUAAUACGUAGGGUGCAAGCGUUAUCCGGAAUUAUUGGGCGUAAAGAGCUCGUAGGCGGUUCGUCGCGUCUGGUGUGAAAGUCCAUCGCUUAACGGUGGAUCUGCGCCGGGUACGGGCGGGCUGGAGUGCGGUAGGGGAGACUGGAAUUCCCGGUGUAACGGUGGAAUGUGUAGAUAUCGGGAAGAACACCAAUGGCGAAGGCAGGUCUCUGGGCCGUUACUGACGCUGAGGAGCGAAAGCGUGGGGAGCGAACAGGAUUAGAUACCCUGGUAGUCCACGCCGUAAACGGUGGAUGCUGGAUGUGGGGCCCUUUCCACGGGUCCCGUGUCGGAGCUAACGCGUUAAGCAUCCCGCCUGGGGAGUACGGCCGCAAGGCUAAAACUCAAAGAAAUUGACGGGGGCCCGCACAAGCGGCGGAGCAUGCGGAUUAAUUCGAUGCAACGCGAAGAACCUUACCUGGGCUUGACAUGUUCCCGGCGACGGCAGAGAUGUCGUUUCCCUUCGGGGCGGGUUCACAGGUGGUGCAUGGUCGUCGUCAGCUCGUGUCGUGAGAUGUUGGGUUAAGUCCCGCAACGAGCGCAACCCUCGCCCCGUGUUGCCAGCAUGCAGUGAUGGGAACUCACGGGGGACCGCCGGGGUUAACUCGGAGGAAGGUGGGGAUGACGUCAGAUCAUCAUGCCCCUUACGUCCAGGGCUUCACGCAUGCUACAAUGGCCGG
rnacentral:rRNA from 1 species